UUGGUGCCUGGAGUGUCCCUUUAACCCCUUAAGGACCAUACUUCUGGAAUAAAAGGGAAUCAUGACAUGUCACAUAUGUCAUGUGUCCUUAAGGGGUUAAAGGGACACUCCAGACACCCA
rnacentral:miRNA from 1 species